CCUACGGAGGGCAGCAGUGAGGAAUAUUGGUCAAUGGACGCAAGUCUGAACCAGCCAAGUAGCGUGCAGGAUGACGGCCCUCCGGGUUGUAAACUGCUUUUAGUUGGGAAUAAAAGGGGGCUCGUGAGCCCCGUAUUGUAUGUACCAUCAGAAAAAGGACCGGCUAAUUCCGUGCCAGCAGCCGCGGUAAUACGGAAGGUCCGGGCGUUAUCCGGAUUUAUUGGGUUUAAAGGGAGCGUAGGCCGGCUUUUAAGUCAGCUGUGAAAGUCCGCGGCUCAACCGUGGAAUUGCAGUUGAAACUGGAGGCCGUGAGUGCACACAGGGAUGCCGGAAUUCAUGGUGUAGCGGUGAAAUGCUUAGAUAUCAUGAAGAACUCCGAUCGCGAAGGCAAGUGUCCGGGGUGCAACUGACGCUGAGGCUCGAAAGUGCGGGUAUCAAACAGGAUUAGAUACCCUUGUAGUC
rnacentral:rRNA from 1 species